GCUAACCAUGCAAGUCGAACGCUCACCUUCGGGUGGGAGUGGCAGACGGGUGAGUAACACGUGGGAACGUACCCUUUGGUUCGGGACAACUCUGGGAAACUGGAGCUAAUACCGGAUACGCCCUUUUGGGGAAAGGUUUACUGCCGAAGGAUCGGCCCGCGUCUGAUUAGCUAGUUGGUGGGGUAACGGCCUACCAAGGCGACGAUCAGUAGCUGGUCUGAGAGGAUGAUCAGCCACACUGGGACUGAGACACGGCCCAGACUCCUACGGGAGGCAGCAGUGGGGAAUAUUGGGCAAUGGGCGCAAGCCUGAUCCAGCCAUGCCGCGUGAGUGAUGAAGGCCUUAGGGUUGUAAAGCUCUUUUAUCCGGGACGAUAAUGACGGUACCGGAGGAAUAAGCCCCGGCUAACUUCGUGCCAGCAGCCGCGGUAAUACGAAGGGGGCUAGCGUUGCUCGGAAUCACUGGGCGUAAAGGGCGCGUAGGCGGCGUUUUAAGUCGGGGGUGAAAGCCUGUGGCUCAACCACAGAAUGGCCUUCGAUACUGGGACGCUUGAGUCUGGUAGAGGUUGGUGGAACUGCGAGUGUAGAGGUGAAAUUCGUAGAUAUUCGCAAGAACACCGGUGGCGAAGGCGGCCAACUGGACCGGCACUGACGCUGAGGCGCGAAA
rnacentral:rRNA from 1 species